rnacentral:rRNA from 1 species
GAUAGGUCAUCUCAUCUGGAAGGAGAGAUGGCUUAAAGGGGUGCGCGGGCUUCUUUUGUGAAUCUGCUCCAGGAUGGGACUGCGUCCGAUCAGGCUGUUGGUGGGGUAAUGGCCCACCAAACCUGUAACCGGUACGGGCCUUGAGAGAGGUGGCCCGGAGAUGGACACUGAGAGAAGGGUCCAGGUCCUACGGGGCGCAGCAGGCGCGAAACCUUCGCAAUGCGCGAAAGCGUGACGAGGUUAAUCCGAGUGACUCCCGCUGAGGGGGUCUUUUGUCGGCUCUAAAUUGGCCAGCGAAUAAGGGGAGGGCAAGUCUGGUGUCAGCCGCCGCGGUAAUACCAGCUCCUCGAGUGGUCGGGGCGAUUAUUGGGCCUAAAGCAUCCGUAGCCUGUUCUGUAGGUCCUCUGUUAAAUCCAACCGCUUAACCGUUGACAUGCAGAGGAUACCGCGGGACUAGGAGGCGGGAGAGGUGGACGGUACUCCGCGUGUAGGGGUAAAAUCCUUUGAUCCGCGGAAAGACCACCAGUGGCGAAGGCGGUCCACCAGAACGCGCUCGACGGUGAGGGAUGAAAGCUGGGGGAGCGAACCGGAUUAGAUACC